CUCAAUCCUACGUGGGCUCCAAAAAAAAAAAAUUAAAUACAAAAAUAUAAGCAGGUCUGUGUCCUUCUCCUACCUGCCCUUCUAUAGCAUACUCUCCAUCUUUUAGGCUGGUGAGAGUCUGGAUAUAGGACAUCCCUUGCUUCAGAUAGCCUGCCAGGGCUGGGUACCAGUAGAUGUGCCCCCCCCCCCGAAGUGCGCUGAGAAACCCUGCCCUAUAAUUUUGCAUCACGGCUCCCAAUUUGGUCAAAGACGAGUUCUACUCCUUUAAGUGCCAAGAAGAGGUCUUAUUCUGUCCUGCGCCAGAAGACACUGAACGAUGCCAGGCUAAGAACACUUGACUUAACAGAGAUGAUGCCUUCCCCUAAGAUCAGAAUCAGUGGAGAAGCAAGUAGUACAGAAGCUACAACCUCUUGAUAGGAGAAAGAACUGGGGGCAAUAGAAUCCCUCCUACAACCUAGAGCACCCCAUCCCCCAGAUUAUAUUAGAAAUGUUUGGUUUGACUGUGUAAAAAUAACACCGAUUGUUUUCAUUUAGGAGAAUGACUUACCAUUUAUGCCUAAUUAUCA
rnacentral:lncRNA from 1 species